GAUGAACGCUGGCGGCGUGCCUAAUACAUGCAAGUCGAGCGAACAGACGAGGAGCUUGCUCCUCUGACGUUAGCGGCGGACGGGUGAGUAACACGUGGAUAACCUACCUAUAAGACUGGGAUAACUUCGGGAAACCGGAGCUAAUGCCGGAUAAUAUAUUGAACCGCAUGGUUCAAUAGUGAAAGACGGUUUUGCUGUCACUUAUAGAUGGAUCCGCGCCGCAUUAGCUAGUUGGUAAGGUAACGGCUUACCAAGGCAACGAUGCGUAGCCGACCUGAGAGGGUGAUCGGCCACACUGGAACUGAGACACGGUCCAGACUCCUACGGGAGGCAGCAGUAGGGAAUCUUCCGCAAUGGGCGAAAGCUUGACGGAGCAACGCCGCGUGAGUGAUGGAGGUCUUCGGAUCGUAAAACUCUGUUAUUAGGGAAGAACAAAUGUGUAAGUAACUAUGCACGUCUUGACGGUACCUAAUCAGAAAGCCACGGCUAACUACGUG
rnacentral:rRNA from 1 species